GUAACGGCGAGUGAAGAGGGAAAAGCCCAAAUUUGUAAUCUGGCUCUUUUAUAAGGGUCCGAGUUGUAAUUUUGAGAACUGUUUUCUGUGCUGGACCAUGUACAAGUCUGUUGAAAAACAGCAUCAUUGAGGGUGAUAAUCCCGUAUGUGAUAUGGACUACCAGGGCAAUAUGAUACAGUCUCUAAGAGUCGAGUUGUUUGGGAAUGCAGCUCAAAGUGGGUGGUAAAUUCCAUCUAAGGCUAAAUAUAGGUGAGAGACCGAUAGCAAACAAGUACCGUGAGGGAAAGAUGAAAAGAACUUUGGAAAGAGAGUUAACAGUACGUGAAAUUGUUAAAAGGGAAACAUUUGAAGUUAGACUUGUUAUUGUUGGUUCAGCUUCUUUAUUGAGGUGUAUUCUGAUGAUUAACAGACCAGCAUCAAUUUUUGGGUGUUGGAUAAGGGUUUUGGGAAUGUGGCAGCUUCGGUUGUGUUAUAGACCAUUACUUUGAUACAAUGCUUAGGAUUGAGGAACGCAGUAAGCUUUGUUGCAGAUUUUUUCGGAAGUCUCCUUACUACGGAUGUUGGUGCAAUAGCUUUAAAUGACCCGUCUUGAAACACGGACCAAGGAGUCUAACAUGCUUGCGAGUAUUUGGGUGUUGAAACCCUUAUGCGUAAUGAAAGUGAAUGUAAAUGGGAUCCGUAAAAGGUGCACCAUUGACCAGUCCUGAUUAUUUAUAUGAUGGUACUGAGUAAGAGCAAGUAUGUUGGGACCCGAAAGAUGGUGAACUAUGCCUGAAUAGGGUGAAGCCAGAGGAAACUCUGGUGGAAGCUCGUAGCGGUUCUGACGUGCAAAUCGAUCG
rnacentral:rRNA from 1 species